CUAUAUGGGAUAUGGGUCCACUCCAAGGGUUUUUAGGCAUGAGAUUGAGAGGAAAAAGAUAGAAAAAAAUCUAAGAAAAAGAUAAGAAAAAAAGGGAGAGAAAGAAUAGAAAGAAGAGACAAGAUAGAAAAGGAAAGGCAAGGGUUGCUAUUCCUAAGGUUCAAUUUCUCCAAUAGUUGAAUUUUUGAAUCAAUUUGGGUGGUG
rnacentral:lncRNA from 1 species